rnacentral:tRNA from 1 species
GGUCCCAUAGCUCAGUUGGUAGAGCACUCGACUCAUAAUCAUUGGUCACAGGUUCAAGCCCUGUUGGGAUCA